GCCCCCUAGCUUCCUCGCCUCUCUCCUAAAGCGGGUGUCGCAGGUUCGAAUCCUGCCGGGGGCA
rnacentral:tRNA from 8 species